CAGAGCCAACUUUAAACUGCUGCCAUCUGUUGGCACCAAUGACCGUAGAAAACAUUAUUGCGACAACACGUUUUUUGGGGAAAAUAACAGAGAUUGAAACUUUACUGAUAAUUUGUCCAAGUUGAAAAAUGCCCUCCUCCAAAAAUAUCAUGUGACAACCUCAUUGCCUUACAGAAUCAUGACGUCACGCACAUGUAGAAUCUUACCACCACUUUGAUCCUUUGGUCCUUUGAUCCUUAAAACCCAUAAAUAGCGGUGAAACGCAAUGACUUUUAGUCCGUUUCUCGCAGCAAUCUUUGCAGCAUUGAACCGUUCGCCAGAAAAGCCUUUUGAAAUAUUUGGAUCCUUUGCAUAGUCACUGUUUCCAGACUCAACAUGUCUCAAACAGAAUAUCCAAAGGGACAAGAAGUUGACCCCUACGCUCUUCCCUGGGAUCAGCCACUAGACCCUUACCUCUCCUCUCUUCCUUGGUGUGACCAAGUAGAAAUAGAGGAAAAGCGCUUGGAAGAAAUGGAGGAUGAAAUGCUCACGAACGCAGAGAAGGUUAAGUUAUUGAUGGAGGAAAAUGAGAGAAACAGGGCUGAAUUAAAAAAGUUGUCCUACCAGCUUCAAGAAAAGGAAGCUAUUAUUGAGGAGAAACAACAGGAUCUCUGGGACAUGGACAAAAAGAACCAGGAGCUUCAAAGAAAGCUUGAUCAAGCUCUGCAGCAAAAUAAAAAACUCGUCCAAGAGAAGAAACAUGAGGACAUGAAGAAGAGAGGGAUGGACCGCAAUCUCCUAGACGUGGAGUUAAUGUACAGUAUCGAGAAAAAAAGGCUUGGUGACACACUGCAAGCAAAUGAAAAGCUUCUACAAGAGAAAAGGCAACAGGAGAUCAAACAAAAAGAAAUGGAUCGGAAGCUUCAGAGCAUCAAGCAACACAAUGAAAGCUUGCAAGGAAAGCUUGAUGAAGCUCUGCGACAAAAUAAAAAACUUGUCCAACAGAAGAAACAUGAGGACAUGAAGAAGAGAGGGAUGGACCGCAAUCUCCUAGACGUGGAGUUAAUGUACAGUAUCGAGAAAAAAAGGCUUGGUGACACACUGCAAGCAAAUGAGAAGCUUCUUCAAGAGAAAAUGCAACAAGAGAUAAAACAAAAAGAAAUGGAUUGCAAGCUUCAGAGCAUCGAGCAACAAAAUGAAAGCUUGCAAGGAAAGCUUGAUGAAGCUCUGCGACAAAAUAAAGAAAUCCUCCAAGAGAAAAAGCAGCUGGACAGAAAGCACAUGGAGGGAAAAGAAAGGAUGCUGCAGGUAAAGUUCGAUGAGACACUGCACAAAUAUCAAGAGCUGCUUCAAGAGAAAGAACAGCUGACCAUAAAGCAGAAAGAAGAAAAACUUCUUCUCCAGGAGUUUGAGAGGAAAAACCGAAAUCUGCAAGAACUUUACAACAAAAUGAAGUACAAAGCAUCUGAGCUGGAAGGAGAAAAUGAAAAACUGCAAAAACAGGAGGCAACAUCUAAAGUGCUGAAAGAAAGGCUGGAAGAAAAACAAGCUGAAUUAGAAGAAGUGGAGAAAAAAUGCAAUAAACUGGAGCAGCAAAAUACAGAAACAAUCGAGGAGUUGAAAAUCCUCAUCCUCGAGAAAAAAGUGCUCAUGGAAAAGCAGCUGGAAAAAAAGAAAAAACGCUUCCGCUUCUUCCAGAGGAAGAACAAUCCUGCUUUUCCUGCUGCCGAUGUCACCUCGUCUUCCUCCACCUCUGUUCCAGCUUAAUCCCCCCCCCCACCUUAACACCUAACACCUCUCCCAUUCCCCCCCCCCUUUCACACUCACCCCCCAACCAGUCCCGACAGUUGACUGCCCCCUCUAGAGCCUGGUUCUGUCAUAGGUUUCUUCCUUUAAAGGGAGUUUUUCCUAUCCACUGUCGCCUAGUGCUUGCUCAGAGGGGAUUGUUGGGGUUUUCUCUCCUCUCUCCCUUUCCUUUACGCUCUUCUUUACAUCCCCCCACCCCCACCUUUUCUUUUUUCUUAAUAAUAGAACAAUAAAAACAAUUGGCUGCAUUUUAAAUGUGUCAAAUCAAUGUCUUUAUUCAAGAAUACAAGAAAUGGGUAAUAGCUG
ensembl:lncRNA